rnacentral:lncRNA from 7 species
AGAAAAAGAUAAAGAAAAGAGAAAAGAAAAAAAGAAAAUAGAAAUAAAAAAGAGGACAGAAAAAUAUGAAAAAAAGAAGAAAGAAAAAAAGAAAAGAAAAAAACAGUAGAUGAAAAAAGAAAAAACAAAAGGAAAAACGAAUAAUGACAAGAGAAGAAAGGUAAAGAGAAAAGAAGAAAAAAGCCAAGUCAAAAAGUAAAGAAUAACUCGAAGGAAGGAGUGGAUGGCAAGAAAUACAGAGAAAGCAGUGCAUAGCACAGCAGAGCAAAGCAAGGCAAAAUAGCAGCCAAAGCCACGAGAAUCAAGAAGUCAGUGAAGAGCAGGAAAGGAAUGGAGGAAUCUGUCCAGAGCUGUGCCCCUGCUUGCCACAGGAGCUGCGCGGGAGGAGAAGAACGUGGGCCAAAAGGUAAGAGGAGCUCCUUUGGGUUCUGGGCUUGAAGCAAAGCUGAGAAGCCAUGCCCGGGAGGAGGUGUGGGUAGCUACAGGCCACCUUGCUAUCUCCCCAAGAGAUGAGGUGCGUGGGCUAGGCACCGGGCAGGAGUGCUGGCCAGAAGCAAGCAUCUCUGUGGAGGAAGGCAAAGGGCGGAGGAGGUUCAGGGUAGCUACCGGGCAUGGCCUUGCUCAGCAAGGGGAGGAAAAGCCUGAAGGGCACGAGAAGGGGAUAGAGAAGGGCAGGCAGUAGGCGUGAAGCUGCGAGCAGAGUAGAGAGCAACUUGGCAGAGCAGCAAGCAGAGUAGGCAAGUGUUGAGGUUUGGCGUGAGUAGCAGCAAAAGCCCAGAGCAUCAAGAAGCAGGAAGUGAGGAGAAGGUAAGUGAAGGGCAGGCAAGGUAAUGGGAGGCAAAGGCAAGGGGAAAGGGGG